rnacentral:tRNA from 1 species
AUUUUAGAAGCGAAAAAUUGCAUUAAGUUUCGGCCUUAAUUUUAGGGAUACUCCCUCUAAAAAG